rnacentral:lncRNA from 1 species
UUUUUUUUUUUUGUUAAUUUCACUUCGAGAUUUUAUAUUGAUCCCAUAUUUCAAGAUCUCUUUUAAUUAAGUAGCUACCUUAAACUUUAUUAACAGUUCUUUUAGAACUAGUUGUGCAUGUUAUAACCAAACCAUUUUUUUUGGUAGAAAUAAAAUUGACUACAUUAAAGUAGCUCUAAUGGGAGUUUAUCCUGGUUUCGAAAUGCUAAAGAUCAGUCAACAAUAAUGCUCGAAUGAAUGGAGGCUCUGUAAAAGUGCAAACUCUGCUUAAAUCUCCAAUAGCCAUUUUUGCAAAGCAAUCCGUAACAUUAUUUUGUUCCCUUAAAAUAUAUCGAAAUCUAACUUGCUAACAUUUUACAAGUAAAUAGUGCAUGAAUCUAUUAUCCACUGCAUAAUUAUUACUGAUAAUAUCAAUAAGAAUAGCACUUUCACUACACCGAUUUAGAUAUACUCAUGUCAAAUUUGAAUUGACAAUUAAUGUUUAAAUUGACGGGAUGACCGAUAGAAAUAUAUGAUUGUUACGAUAAUGAUAUUUCAAGGACUAAUUUAAAAUGAUUUGAACUUUAAUGACUAAAUUAGAGUUUGGGCUAUAGCUUAUAAGUAAUUAACCCUUUCCUUUUUAUUUUCUUGGAUUAUAUAAUACACAUAAUUGUUUGUGUUAUAUAUUUGCAUAUACUGUAAGCAGUCUUCACAUGCAAUCUUUAUCAUGUGCCUUGUCCAGGAAUGAGAAUGAAACCCAACAGUUUGUUUCUCAAGUCCCAAACAAAAACAAAAAAUCAGACCCUAUAACAUCAGGUCAGGACGGUCUAUCAGGGUUGUUUGCAUAAACAUAUUAUUCUCAUGAAGUUUGACCACACAUACAUGCCUUAACCAAACCUUACUGGUUUUGUUGGUAAGGUCCCUGGUUCAGGCGGUCUCAUCAAGACUGUAGGAUAAAGCAAGGUUUAAGCAAGAAAUAUGCUCUCUACUUUAGGCCCCAUCAAGGAGCCUUUUUAAGCUUUUUUUAAAAGAAAAGCAAGGAUGGCCUAGCUGCAUUGGAUCCCUUUAAGCAACUGUAUUCACAUAUGAAGUUAUCAUAUAUGAACAGCAUUUUCCCAAAAAGUAUUGAAGAUCAGUAAAAGCUGGUAUGUUUACCACACAAAUACAAAUAGAUAAAAUUAGAAAAGUGUGGCUCAAAUAGGUUUACAAGAGAUUUCCUCAUGCAAAUUGUUUGAAACAUUUUCUUAUUGCAACAUGAUUUUACUAGUAUGAUGUUAAUCAGCUCCUAAUCCCUAUAUAGGAACAUUAAGUUCCCUCAAAAUUUUAGCAGCAUCACCAGGAAAAACAGGGUUUAUGUAACAUCCAGAUCCGAGUUCAAAACCUCCUACACCAGUUAACUGAGGUAUUAUCUGUAAAAACCAGUGACUAUAAGGUAUCUCAGAGUCAGUAAUCUGUAUUGGUGAAGUAUGGAUCAUAAAAUUGAAUGGGGGUUUAUUCAACUGCAAAGCCAUCUUUUUAAGAAUGAGUUUUAGCAAGCCACCGAGAUCAACUGCCUGCAAAAUGAGAAUCGAAUGGAAACGAAUGAAAAGUUAGAUUGCUAAGCCUUAUCGGUUUAUUAUUUUGUUAUGGAUGAACAUACUACUUGCGUUUUAUAGCAUAAAGAAGCAGAAACUUCUUAAUUCUUUCAAUCACUCUAUCUACAACUCAACAUAGCAUGACUUGCGUUUUAGCUGACAUGAGUGAAGUCAAAAGAAAACCAAUUUUCUUAAGUCAAUAGGGUAUUUUUUUCCUUUAAUUAGAAUUUCCAUAAAAACUAAAUUCAUUUACUCUCAUUCAAACUUUGUAUUACUUAAAUAUUAGUCAUGAUAGUUUUGUGCUCACACAACAUUGCUAUGUCUCCUUAAAGAUUCCCUAUAUCCUAUGUAGGUUUAAAUGUCAAACUGGCAUCAUGAAACUAGUAAUGCUAACAGAAAAAAGCAAAGCCACUAAACAGACCAUCUCGGGUUCACUAAAUACUAGGAAAUAAAUAACAAUCAUAUUAUGCUACAUAUAAAUUUCUUUUUAACAGUAAGUCAAUAAAUCAUAGAAGCACUCAAAAAGUGUUCAACAAUCAUUUGACAUAAUGCUUUCUUUGCUUGUUGUGCUUUUAUUUUUAUCCUGAAUGAGUGACAGUGAGAAUCAUACAAUAAAGUUUCUAGCACUGUUAUCUCCACUAUAAGAACCAAACACAAAUCAAACAAGUGAAAAUCAUAUAACACUAGAGCCAUGAACAUGAAGGAAUAGAAAAGUUACCUUCUUAUUGUCCAGUUCAUCAAAAUGAGAAGAGUGAUCUCGGGGAAUUAUCCAUAUCUCGAAAGGAAAUGAAGAAGCAUAUGGAGCAAUGGAAAAGAAAUGGCUGGUUUCAUUAAUCAAGAGGUCCUUUGAUUGGACCUUACAGAGACUACAUUUCCCUGUCUGAUUAAAAUGCUCCUUCAUACUGUUGAGUCGAGUAGAAACACUAGCAGGAACAAUGGGAAGAGAUAGCAUCUGACUGUGAGAGUGACUCAUUGAAGCCCCAGCUGAAGCUCCAUGGUUCUUGAACACCUACCAAAGACAAAUGAAGUAGCACUAAGAACCUAUAAGCUCAAAAAACUGACACAUCAUACAGAUUAAAAGUAGACCUAACAAUAUUGAAUACGAACAAGGACAAAAAUAACUGAAACAUGACAUGAAACAGAAAAACACCAGGACAGGACACAAAUAUGCAAAUGUAUCAAAAUUUAUAUGAUACAAAUUAUUUAUAUGUCAACAUUUAUAUAAUAUAAAAUAUCUUAAAACACGAUUAUGAUACACAACCACAAAAGAACAGGUAAUGCGAAUUGCUAGUUUAAUUAAAAAACAUUAUUUUAGACCUUUAUUUAAAAGAAACCAUGGAAAAUAGAAGCAAUUAGCUCUCAAAAUUUUGAAUCACAAGAAACCAAUGAUAAGUAAAGGAUUUUAUGAAAUGCAAAAUACAGCCCUCUAAAAUAGAUCAUUUCAUCAAAUUAAAAGCACUUGCAAUCAUCAAAUAGCUGAAAACUAUACUCUUUACACAGUUCACAGGUCCAUAUCAACACAAAUAUUUCAAGAAAAGACAGAAAUUUAUAUCAAAGAAAUGCUUUAUUACACAUUCGCAAAAGAGAAGGCUUUUCUUUUCCACUACCUGAAUAUAUUUGAUUGAAUCAAACUGCUUAAUCUGCUCAAUCCUCCUCUUAUAAGCAAUCAAAACAUCACCAAUCUCACUCAGAUCCAAAUCCGACAACUGAACCGAGUGAACUGGAGUUUCAAUCACCACAUCGUGAAACCCGAAUCCCGGUACGACCCGACCCAACCCGCUCAACUCGCUACUCGAAUCGUCAUUCUGGCCAUUUGGGUGAUCGAGUUUCCUGCUCAAAGCUGGAUACAAGUUCUCAAUAACCCGGAGUUUCCAGUUAGGAUCCGGCGGGACUCGAAAUAUCUCGGGUGCACACUGGUGCUCAUUGCCGAUGCAGAAGGGGCAUGAUGAAGAAUUAUUGUUAGGAUUUUCCGGCGAUUUGGAUUUGAAAUCGGAAGGACGCUUGGCUCGGGCCGGCGAGAAGAUGACCCAUCGGUUUGUAACAGGGUCUUUUCGGAGUUCGGGGCUCCGAGUUGGUGGUGUAGUUGCCAUGACCUUCGACUUUUCCUUCUUUGAUUGUUUGGAAAUUUACUUCUUUCGGAUAAAAAAAAUAGGAAUUUUAUCUAAAGGCUGCUGUGUGUUUGGCUCAAUAACUAAUAUUAGAAAAGUAUAUAUUAAUAUUUUUGUCAGAAAUUUAAAAUCAUAUUUAAAAUAUUUAUGUUAUAAAUUUUAAUAUGUUAAUUAUUUAUUUCAUGUUAAUUUUAAAAUUUUUAAGAAAUUUGAAUAGAUGGUAUUUUAAUAUGUACUGUUUUAAAUAUGGAAAAAUAUUAGUGUUUGCUGAUGAAUAUUUUUAAAAAAAUAAUUAUAAAAGAAAAACAAUCGUACUAAAAUAAAUAUAUGACAUAAAUCGGUAUUAUUAAAUUUGUAAAAAAAUUAUAUUAAUAUGAUUUUAUAAAAAUAUAUAUUAAAGCUUUUAAAAUUAUAUUUUGUGGUUUAGUUUUAUAUAGUUUUAUAGUAAGUCAUGUGAAUUAAAUAAAUAAGAUUUUGAGUAGUUUUAAAAAUAAUUUGAAUAAAUAAUUAAAUGGUUUUUAAAAUAUUUUUAUUUGUUUUUUAAAUAAUUUUUGUGAAAUUAAAAAACAAUUUGGUGAAUAAAAAAUAUUUUCAAUAAGGAAAAAUUGAAAACAUAUUUUACUUAUUUUUCUAUCAUAGAAAUAUGAGGAAUAAAAUUAGAAAAAUUGGAUUCUAGUAACAUGUUUAAUAUUUUUGUUAAUUGAGUCUUAAUUUAUUUGGCAUUAGUUUUGAUGUUAGUGUAAGAGAACAUGGGUCAAGUACGUUGAAAUGCAUUAUUCUCUUAUUUAAAGGUUAGGGAGGAACUAUGAGUAAUUUUAGUCAAUUUAUCAAUUUUUUUGUAUUAUAUAGGUUUUACAAAAAAAUAAUUUUGUUUUAUAUGGGUCUUGCUUUGAAUGGAGUGAUGAUUAAAUUUUUUUCUAAUAUUUUUUUGAUACAGAUUCGAGUCGUGUUGUCUCAUUUCCUGGCCCUAAUAUUGUAUCGAAAAAGUAUUUUUUUUAUAUGGGCUUUAAUGAGUGUCAAUUCGUUUUAAUUAUUUUUUAAGUAUACAAAACAUUUUUUUAAAAGGCAAUUGUUUUAAUUAUUUUUUCAAUUUUACAAAAUAUUUUUAGUGAAAACAAUAAAGAAUUUUUUUCAUAUUUAAUUUUUAAAAUUAUUAUAAUUUUUUCAAUUAAACAAUUAUUUAUUUACCUAUUAAUGAAACCGAACAAAUAGUAAGUAGCUGAAGUUUAUUUUGAAAUUUGAUAUGGAUUUUACACUUUUUUAUACAAUUUAAUUUUAUUUUUGAAAUUUUAAAAAUCUUAACAUAAAUGAAAUCUAUUCAUUAAACCCCUCCUACAAACACAACAAAAAGGAUAUGUAUCUUAUUUCUAUAAAUUUUUUUUAGGUAAAAUAAUUUAUGCGUUCUAACUUAAAAAAAAAUUAUUUUAAUUUUUUAUUUGAUCUUUUGCCUAUUUUAUCCUUAAAAUGUGUUAUUUAUCAAAUCAUUAAAAUUAUUUUAAUUUUUUAUUUGAUCUUUUGCCUAUUUUAUCCUUAAAAUAUGUUAUUUAUCAAAUUACUCCAAAAUAGUUGAAAAAAUUAACAGAUAAAAUGGUUGAAAAAGUUAACGUCUGUUAACUUUACUGCAUGAUAAAUUGUCACGUUAAUAAUUAAUAAAUUUUUUAAAUUUAGAAAAAUUCAACAAAGUUUAAAAAAUUACAAAAAUUAUUAAUAUUUUUAUUUUUUAAAAAAUUAAUUAAUUGCUAACGUGAUAUACAUGUGGACUGUCACAUAGCAAAGUUAGCAUACGUUAACUUUUUUAUUGAUUUUGGAGUGAUUUGACAAACAAUAUAAGUUUAAGAACUAAAAGAGAUGACAAUUUAAAUAUAUGACUAAAAUGACAUUUUAAAGAAAAUUAGAGAAUCAAAUAAGUUAUUAUACCAUUUUUUACUACACAAAUACUUAUAAAAACCAUAUAUUAAAAAAAGUAAAAGUUCAUUAAAAAGACUAAUUCUGUACGUUGAAUAAUGAAUAAUGUAAUAUUCCAAUUUCAAGAUAUUCAUUUAUUCAAACUAGGUUAUGUUUACGUCCUAUUUCAAUUAAUAUUUAUAUUGUUUCUAUUAUCAUAAUAUAUUUUAAUAAGUAAAUUGAGUUUUAGUUCAAUUGGUAUGAAUAUUAUUGUAAAUAUAGGAGGACGUGGAUUCGAGUAUACUGAAGCUCGUUAUUCUCCUAUUUAUAGGUUUGGAAGGGGUUAUGAAUAAUUAUAUAGUCAAAUAUAAUCAGAACUUAUAAUGAUUUAUUUGUUCAAAAUAUAUAUAUUAAUGAGAUAAGAUAAAUUAAAAAUUAUAUUAAUUUUUUAAAUAAAAUUAGUGAUAAAUAUCAAAUUAAUUCAUGAACUUUGAUCUAAUGUGUAAUUUAAUACAUGAAUUUUGAUUAGUGCAAUUAUAUAUAUAUAUAUAUAUAUAUAUGAAACUUGAAUUGUGUUUUAUGUGUAUACGUAAAACUUUGAUUUUGAUUCAAUUCUAUACAUUUAAAGAAAUAAAUAUAUAAAUUUAUUUUCAUAUUGGAUUAAUAUAAUUGUUUGUGUAUGCAAUUCAAUAAUGUUGUUAGUGGUGUGUAAAAAUUGAAUUAAAUUAAAAUUUUAUAUGUAAAACCGCACAAAUCAAAGUUCAUGUAUGAAAUUAUACAUUUUAUCAAAAUUCAUGUAUAGUUUUUUAUAUUUAUCCUAUAAAAUUAUUAACUAUUCCAAGAAAAUAACUAUCUCACUAGUAAUUUUCAUGUGAUAAAAUUUGAACUUGAAUACUUAAGAUCCUAAAAUUUAAAUAUUUGUCACCGAUACCAAACUUUGUGAGAAUUAAGUUAUAAUUGGAAUAAUGUUAAAAUAUGCCAUAAAUUCCUAUAUUAUUUGUAAAUUUAAGAUUUAUCCCCUAUAUUUUUAUUUAUAAGAAUUUAAUCUCUCUAGUUUCAGAUUUAAAAAAUUAAGUCUAACUAUAAACACAUUUAAAAUUAUUUUGUUAAAAUUGGUUCAUUUUUUUAGUUACACUGCUAUCAAGUUAAUAUUUUUUUAAUUUCAAAAUACAUGAAUAAAUAUUUUUUUAAAAUUAAUGUUGUUAACUAGGGAUAAGCAAAACUCGAUGCGAUUUGAAAAAUAAAAAAAUUCAAAUUUUGAGUUAACCGGAUCGAGUUAUUUGAAUUAUUCGAGCCAACUCAAAUAUGUAAUUCAAGUUUCAAGUUUGAAUCGAGUUGAAUUUUACAAUUCGAAUAACUCGACUAAUUUGAAUAACAUAUCGGUGUAAAUACCCUUUUGGUCACUGACAAGUUUAAAAAUAAGCAAAUUGGUCUCUUUAUCAACAAAAGUUACAAAAAAAAUUCAAAAAAAUUAAAAUUCAAAAUAUUUAUAAAAUUCCAAAAAUAUAUAUUUUUAAAAUAUAAAAAAGUAUAAAAAAAUAUAUAAAGAAAGAUAAAAGAUUUAAAAUUUUCUAGAAUAAUAUUUUUUGAGACCUAAAUAAGUUAACUAAUGAUUCAAGUUUAUCAUACUACUAACAUGGAAUUAAUUAUACUGUAAUAAAUUUUAAUUUGACAUGUUUAAUUCUUUAAUUUAACUUAAACAAUUUCACUGUAUUCGACUUAACUCGAUUCCAAAAAAAAUUCAAAUCAAGUUAAGAUGAUAAAAUAAGAUUUGCUAACUCGAUUUUUUUUAUUUGAUUCGAUCAAACACUCACCUCUAUUGUUAACAAUUAGACCUAAAAUUAAAAAUUAAUUUAUUAUGUCUCAUGUUAACCUUAAAAUAAGCCUCUAUUAGGGAAAAAAAUGAUAUUCCAUUAUAUAACGUUUAAUAUUGUAAAGUCACGUAAUUAGUAAGCCUAAAAUAUUAAAUUUCUUUACUAAAAAAAUAAUAAUUUCCUUUAGGCUACUGUACAGUCACAUUUGUAUGCCUCAUCGGCAUUUAUUAUCACAUAAAAUAAGAGGACAUUAAUUACCAAAAUUAAAAAUAAAAGGACAUGCAAAUUGUUUUCUAUUUUAAGAUUAUUCCAUUAAUGUAGAAAAAAAAUAAAGGAAAUAGUAUUUAAAAAAUGUUUUCUCCUCGUAAAAGAAGGGUAAUUCGUAUUUGCAGUCACUAAACUAUUAGUAAAUUUUUUUUUAUGGUCAUCAAUUAUAAAAAGUUACAAAAUAGUUACUUAACUAUUCAAAUUUAUCUUUUUUGUUCACCCUAUGAUAUUCGGGUGUUUUCAUUUUUUUGUGUUAGCCAACUGGUGAUUACAAAAAGACAAAAUUGUUGGUGAGUGAUCAUUUUUUAAUUUUUUAUAGUUGGAUGACUAAUAAAAAAUUUACUAAUAAUUUGAUUACUACUAAUAUAAAUUACCCAAAAAGCUUUUUUUAAAAGACAUUUCCUCGAAAUUCGACCUUUUCUAUAAAAACUAGUCAACGCAAUUAUAAAAUGUUUACAAAAAAUUUAAUGUCAGUGAAAAUUGAAUUGAUAAUAGAAUUAUUUAGAUCAAUAAUUGAAUCGAUUAGGUUGAUUUAUCUUUUAAAUAUAAUAAUAUAAAAAUUCCUAAAAAAUUCUAAAAAUUUCAUAUAAGUCAAAGGAAACAAUAAUAAACAUAAAUAAAUAAUAGUGUACACAAAAACAUCCAUUUUGUAAAUUAUAAUAAUUAACUUAAGGAUUUAAGUUAGUUUAAAUUUCAAAUGAUUUUUUAAUAAGUCUUUUACUCGGUUGAAUUGAUGGGUCUCAUCUAGUUUUGUAAUCAUGUGAAAAUCUCUCAUAAAUUUCAAAAACAAUUUCUUUAUGGGUGAGUAUUCGAUAAAAUAGCAGUGUAUUUCUUUUAUUAUUUACAAGCAGUCUUAAAAUUUUAACAUUUAUCUCUAUUUUUUCAUAUUAAACUGUACACUUAUAUAUCGCUUGUCAACUUUCUCAUCCUAUUUGUCGAGUCUAAAAACUCCACUAAUAAUGUUUCAAAUAAUUUUUCUUAUAUGCAAAUUUAAAUAUUUAGUAUCGAAUAGUUUUUAUUUUGAAAUAUUUAAUUUGAAUCAAGUUGUGAGAAAUUUAAUAUUUUUAAGUAAAAUUUUCUAUUUGAGUGUUGCAAACAAAUAAAACAGUUUUGAUAAAGCUUUAUCUCAUUUAAAAAUUCUAUUGAACUCAAUUUUGAAUUUACUUGAGAAUCUAUAUGUAAUACUUCUAACCCGUAUCCGUCACUAGAAUAGGGUUACAGAGCAUUAUCUAAAAUCUAUAAUGUAAAAGAUAUUCAUACCAACACAUAACUUAAUUGACCACAUUUCAACCAUGCCAACACAUACCACUUUGGCCAUUUAACCCAUGCAUCAAUUUGGCAAUAAAAACACCAAUCAUCAAGGCAACAAAUGCCAAAAGCACACCAACCAUAUUACCAUAUUUACAAGUCAAACAUAACAACUAGUUCAUCAAACACAAAUCCGCCUCUACAUGCCAUUAUAACCUUGAUCAAGAUAUCAAAUCUACCGAUAUAAUUGUUGGAUAGUGUGACCUGUAAAGUAAGAGAAAGAUGGCUACGUAAGCAAUGAAGGCUUAGUAAGCUCGACGAAAUAAAACAAUAAAUCUUACCGAAGUAAAUACAACAGUCUAAACAAUAAUAAUCAACCAUGAGAAUUCCCUGUCUUCACAAUUUCAACCGAUGAAUUCAUCUAUGUUCAGAUCAAUAUUCAAUAAAUAACAAAUCUUUCGAAUUCAUUAAACAAAUUACCUUACAGAUAUUUUUCAUUUGAAUAACGACUUACGGAUAAGAGUACAUCGUCAGAUCAACUGAACACACCAGACAGAUGCUCAUAAGAGCUUAUCCAACCGAAACACACUAGACAGAAGCUCAUUAGAGCUGGGCCAACUGAAACACACCAGGCAUAGAGUAUAAUACGAGAGUUCGCAACAAAUGUUGAACCUCGAUUUACUAGGGUAAUAUACAUAUAUCUCCCUCUAAUACCAUCUCCACUCCAAGCCCCCGUAACACACUAAAUCACGAUUAUACACUAUCCCUCAUUCAAUCCAAAUUGAGUAUCAAAUUCAUUAUUAUAUCUCAAAUUACCAUUAAUUAUCAACAAUUAAAAAUAAAUAUACAAGUUGUACCACGUUAAUCUACUCAACAAUUCAUAUUGAUGUUAAAUUAUAACCAUACGAACUUACUUGGCCAAAUCACAGAAAUGUUAAAAUAUAAGGGCUAUUUGAUAAUUUUUCUUUUUACUCGAUUUUCCACUCGAUCUUAAUCAUGCAAAGGUAUAGCCAUAGCCAAACCUUGAAGCAUGUUCGUGAUGAAUUCGGUGGUGAACAAAACAAAAAAAAGAAGAAGAAAACCUUAUGUUUUCUUAUUUUAACAUUAUUAUAUUAUUUUAAUAUUAAAAAAUAGUAUAUAAAACAUAUAAAAUUAAAGGAAAUUAAAACUUAAACCGUCCACCAUAUUAAGCAGGAGUAAUUUACCUAUUAAGGUCAUCCAAUUAUAAUUUUUUAAUAAAUUAAUACAUUUAAGUUAAUAGCGAUUGAUUUUUUCAACUAUUACGAUUUAGUUCUUUUUGCUUAAUUAACUAUCGAAACGAUAAAAUUUUUUAACGAAACUUUAAUACAACCUUAAUAACACUCUGUAAAUAUUUGUAAAAAUAUUUACUGCUCGGUUUAUAGAAAUGAGAUCCUGAUAUCUCAUUUUUUAAUACCACUUGAUUUUAGGGUCUUACCAUUUGAACUUAAUUGAUCAUUCAUAUAACAUAAUUUACUAAAUUAAAAACCUUUUUAAAACCAUAUUUGACUCGUAAAUAUUAAAUAAUAAUAUUUACGAACUUACUUGUUAGAUUUGUGGUCUCGAAACCACUAUUUUCGACACCAUUGAAAAACGGGCUGUUAUACUAUAUUUACUUGAAAAUCUAUGUAAUUACGAAAUUCAAAAGUUUGAGGAGAAAAUAUUAUGUUAUGUUAUGAAUAUUUUAUUAAGUGUAUGUCAUCAAGAUCUAAAUUUGUUUUGAUAUACUUUAAAUUUUAAUAGUCAUUAGAAGUAGAGUUCUAUUUCGUUUAUACUUCUUAUAUCUAUAAAUAUAAACUUGGGAGAAGCAUAGUAAAGAUUCCUAUUGAUCAAUAAAAAUAUGCUAUCUCUUUUGCUUUCCUAUUUUUGUUAGAGUUGUGUGACCCAAAUUUCUGUUAAAUAAAAUAAUAGAUUGCUUGCAAGUCAAAUUAAACACAAUAUAUUUUAUUUCUAGAAGAUUUAACAUUUAUUAGUACAAAUAGGCUCUUUUAAAAUCUUAGAAAACACACUUGUUAAAAUAUUAGAACUCAUAACACUUUUGGAGGUGAAUUUUGUGUUUACGUGUUUGGUUUUUUUAUCUCUAUCUUUUGUACACUUCGUUUUUUUGCUAUUAUAGUAAAUUAUCUUUACUCGUGAUUUUUUAUCCUCUUAGGAGGGUUUUUCCACAUUAACUUUGUGUGUUCAAUUUCUCAAUUUUUUCAUCUUUUUUUACUUAUUUGUUGCUUAAUUGGGUCAAUCCUUGACAAUUUUAUUUGUUCUUUAUUUUCAAUAUUUUUUAUAUUAUAACACGUUACCAACACUAUUCUUUUUUAUUUUAUAAUAUGGUCACUCCAAAUUUGUUGCUCAAGUUGUUAUCGAUUGCCUUCUAAAGCUAUUACAAUUUCUGUAACACCCCUAACCCAUAUCCGUUACCGAAACAAGGUUAUAGAACAUUACUGGAGUUUACAGAUCAAGUACAAAAAUUUUAUAUUAUUUCUCAUUCAUUUCAGAAAUCCAUCAUAAUCAAUUAUAUUGUUCUUUAUAUGAGCCUUCGAGGCCCAAAAUACUCAAUAGAAAUAAGUCGGGACUAAACUGGGUAUUUAGAGAAUUUUUCCUAGGUGUAGGGGACACACACCUGUGUGGCCAGGUCGUGUGUCUCACACGGUCAAGAGACACGCCCGUGUGGGCAUUCAAAAUAGGGUACACGGCUGUGUCCCAGCCCGUGUCUUUACCUAUCUAACUCUUUGACUUAGGUCACAUGGUCAAGUCACACACCUGUGUGCUAGGCCGUGUGAACAUAAUAAUUUGCAUUAAAUAGGUGCAGGGGUCACACGGCUAAGCCACACGCCUAUGUGCACGCCGUGUGAUCAAUUUUGAGCAUUCUAUUUUGAAAAUUUUAAGAUGCAGGGGACACAAGGCCAAAAUACACCCCAUGUGAUAGGCCGUGUGUACACGCCCGUGUCUUUGCCCGUGUAGAUGAAAUAAGAUAAUUUUUAAGCCAAAUUUCUCACCCAAUUUUGGCAUCAACCUAUCACAAUAAAUUUCACAUUUACAAACCAUAUCAAAUCACUCAAAACAUGCCAAAAACAUGUCUUAAACAUGACAUAUUACCAUAUUCAACCAAUGUGCCUUUAAGCACCUCAAGUGAUAAUUUAUUUUCAUGUCUACCUAUUACUCAUAUGCAUGUUCAAUCUCCAUUUCACUUCCAUUCAUUUAUCCACACACACAACCAAUUUAUGAUACCACAUACAUAUAUACAUACAUCAAAAUGUACCAAACACUAGCCAUUCAAAUGGCUAAUCUCAACAAAACAUUUACUUGCCAACAUUGGCCAAUUAACUUAUACAUGCCAUUAUAACCAAAAUCAGUUUUAUAUUUGCACCGAAAUGGGCCGAUGGAUAGCGUGAAAUAUCUCCGCCAAGCUUCCAACCCAAUGAGCUUCCGAAUUACUAUAAAACAGGAAAAAAUAAAACAAAGUAAGCAUUUAAUGCUUAGUAAGUUCGUAUAACAUGAAAUUUAACUUACCAAUUCAUCACAAUUAAGGUAAGCAUUCAAGGCAUAUUCAAACCAAAUUGGACAAAAGCCCUAACACAUAUCCUCAUCAAUCUUGUUAGACAUGUAUUACAUAUAAGCAGUAAGAAACAUGUAUGAGCUUAAUAAUAUCAAAUUUCCAUAUACAUAUAUUUUCCACAUCAUGUAUCCAUAUAUCAUGUAUAAACCAUAUCCAUGUAUUUCAAGCAUUUAUUCAUAAUAUUUUAUCUUGAAUUCAUGUUAUCUCAUAUCAGAACUUUACUCGUUAAACCAUUUAAAAUAUCGAUGGAUACUCGAGUAGUACACAAAAAGUGUACAAAUCUGUAAUCCGUUAAUUCAUAUUCAGGAAUAUUCAUACGAGCACAUAAACGGGAAGCUCAUGUGAGCCAUGUAACGGGAAGCUCUGGAGAGCCAUUAACGGGAAGCUCACAAAUAGCCUUUAAUCGGGAAGUUUAUGAAGAGCCAUAUGUCGAGACACUCAUAAGAGCUGCGGUGUGUCUACAACAUAUGCAUGAUCACAACCGAUCGGGAUGCUAACGGGAAGCUCGCUGAACCAUAUAACGGGAAGCUCAUGAGAGCUAAUAACAGGACGCUCUUUCGAGCUGUGGUGUGUCCGCAACACGUGCAGGACCACAACCAAUUCGGGAACCCUGUAUCCAUCGAAUUUCAUUUAUUCAAACGGGACUUAAUACUUGUUGGAUAUAUUUGGAUAUGUGUUCAAGUUUCAUACAUGUCAAUUACACAAUUUAGUUCAUAUACACAAACAUUCAAUUCAAAAAUAUAAAUAUACAAUUUAGUUACACGAACUUUCCUUGACUAGUGUUCGUUUACACAAAAUCUACUAAUCCGAUUCUUUUUCCUCGAUCUAACUCCGUAUUUGGUCUAUCCGGAUCUAUAUGAAUGAAUUUAUCAUUAAUUUAAUACAAUAAAUUUAUCAUUAAUUUAAUAUAAUUAUACUCAAUUAAAUUCAAUUCACAUCGUAGGUAAAAUUACCAUUUUACCCCAUACUUUUAAUUAAUUCUGAUUUCGUCCCUAGGCUUGGAAAAUAAAAUUCAUGCAAUUUAAUCCUUAUUCCAAGCCUAGUCGAUUUUUACAUAUAACAUUAGUAGCACAUAUAUUUCAUAAAAUUUAGAAUUUUUCCAUGAAUUUUACAUCUUUUCAAUUUAGUCCCAAAAUCACAAUUUCAUCAAAAUUCAGUUUACAAAAGUUGUUUAUCUAUCAACAACAUUUCAUUUUCUACCAUAAAACUUCAUAAUUCAUGCAUAUAAAACUUCACAAUUCAUGCAUACUAAUCCAUGGCAAAACCCUAGUACUUUGAUAACUUUAAAAAUUAACCCCCGAAAUAACUAGAUUAAGUUAUUACGAUCUCAGAAAUAUAAAAAUUAUUAAAAAGGGGACAAGAAAACAAACCUAAUUAAGCCAAAUAAGAUUUUAGGUUUCCAUAUCUUAAGUUUUAGGAAAGAUGAUAAUAUUAUGAUAUUUUAUUUUAUUUUAUUAUUUUUCAUCUUUUUCCUUCCAAUUUCAUUAUUUUCUUUAUUUAAUUUUUCCAUUAAUGAAUCAUCAUACUUAUCUGCUAACUCCUCUUAAUGGUCUGUUUUCCUUAUAAGGACCUCCAAUUUUGAAUUUUAUAGCUAUUUGAUCACUUUAGCUAUUAGAAUUCAACUUUUUCACUUUAUGCAAUUUGGUCCUUUUCAUCAAAUUAGACAUGUAACCAAUAAAAUUUCUCUAUGAAAUUUUCAUACGAUAUUUCAAUCAUAAUGCAGACCAUGAAAUAAUAUUAAAAUUAUUUUUGUUCCAGACUCAGAUUUGUAGUCCUGAAACCACUGUUCUGAUUUCAUUGAAAAUGAACUGUUACAAUUCAAUUUUCAAUUGAGGCUUGCGCACUAUGAGUAAUAAUUAUCCAAAGUAAUUAAAUUUAUAUAAUCCAUACGUGGGUGAUGAUGAUGAUAUUAAAGAUUUUCGGUAUAUUUUACUAUGAUUUAUUUAUUAUACCAUAUUUAUUAUAACAUGUUAAACAUUUUCUUUAAAUAUUAUUUUUUCCUUAUUUUCCUCUUUUCAUGCUUACAGUAAUUUUUUAAUUAGUUAUCUUCACAUUCGAUAAAACAUAAUUAUUUUGAGUUUGACUACUAUUUCUCUUAAUAAUAUUGUUUUAAAAGUUUGAAUCAAGUUUUUCUCCAAUACUACAUGUGCUUUUAUAUUACAUUUUAAUUUUAAUUUUAUAUAUGCAAGCAGUAAUAUAUAAAUAAUUGUAUUAAUAUUUAGGAUAAAUUAUAUAAAUAGUCACUUAAUUAUAAAAAAUUAUUUUAGGAAUUAAAAGAUAUACAGUACCCAAAUUACAUAAUUCGAUUAUUUUAGUCAUUUAAGAUUUUUUUGGGCAUAUUUUUAAGGCAUUAUCCCAAGUGAAUUUAAAAAUGAAAGAGUUGUGUUUUUAACGUAAGUAAUUUUAAAAGAGUGAUCAAAAUGAUUGAAUUAUAUAAUUUAUGUGUCUAAAUUAUAAAAAUUAUAAAAUACUUGCUUAAAAUAAAAAUUUUAAAUAAUUAAAUUACUAUCAAAAUAGUUUACCCUAAUAAUUAUUGAAAAUAAGAGAAACUUAAAAAAGAAAAGAAAAGAUAUUGAUAAUUUUUAAGAGACAUCUAUAUUUAUGUUGAUAAACUAGCUAACAACAUCAAAGAACACCACUGUCACCACCACCAUUUUCAUUUUCACACAAAAAUUUUGUUUUUCUUUUUUCCUUUUUGUUUGACCUAUUAAAGACUCACCCAUUUCUCCACCAAAUAAACUUCUUUGUAUCAUCUUUUACAUCCCGUUUCAAUCAAUCUCUCAAAAUUUUCCCUUUUUUCUGUCCGUAAUCGCCCUGAGUUUUGUAUAUUCGUUUUAUGUCCCCAAAAUCCAAGGAGCAAGGCUGCCUUUUUUCCCCCAAGUAUUGAUUUUUAUAUCUGGGGUUUUUCCCCUUUAUUUAAGUUGAGCCCCAAAAAUUAUUUUUCUCAACAUUUCGUAAGGAUCUGAGCUUGACCCAACAAGUUGUUUUGAGGAUAUUUGAUCUGUGAGUUCUUUUGUUUGUUUGUUUUUUUUUGUUUUUGUUUUUGUUGGUACAUGUUUUUUUUCCUAAGCUUGUUUGAUGAUCAUUUUUACCCUUGAUUAUUUAUAUUUGAUGAAAAUUUGAAUGAUCUGUUUGAGAAUUGUUUGGUUACUGAGAAUCUACUGAGAAUCUGAUCUUAACUGAUUGUGAAAUGAAAAGUUUUUAUGUGAAAAUUUCAAUUUUUCUGUUUCUUAUGUCAUAUUUUGGGGGUGAUGAAAUUUGAAUAUUGCUGAUUUAGCUUUGUUGUUUUGUUUGAUAGAUUUAAUGAGCUGAAAUAUUAUUUCUUAUAUUGUAAAUUUUUUAUGUUUAUUUUGUUUGAUACUGAAUGACUGAUUCCCACGAUCUAUGAAAUUUGAUUUUUUUAUUAUCCAAUAUGUGAUGUACUUGCAUUGAUUUUUGUAUGGUUGCAGCUACAUUUGCUUUGUAAUUGGUAAAAAUAAAAUCUCUUUUGAAGGGUAUUUGCUAAAUAGUCUAUUUGGUAUCCGCUUUGAGGGAAAUCUAAUGGAUGAUUUAUAGCAAGAAUUGCAUGUUUCCACAUUUUGGUAAAUGACUCAAUGAUUGUGUUUUUAUUGUUUAUAAUUUUGUAUCUGGCAAUGUCAUGACAGCAAAAGCUUAUGUAAAUCUUGGUUUUUUUUCAUAAGGGUGCGUUAAAAAAUUUCAUCACUUAGUUAGUCAUUGAUCAUUUGAUCUUUGCAAAUCUGUGGUGCUUUGCUAUCUGUGCUUAUUAGUUUCUAUGUUGGUAAAGUUGGUUACUUUUUUGGUUACAGGAGAUCUGGAGUGGUGCUGAGGGAAGUCGGGCAAUGUGAAUUGCAUGGAGUGAGGAUGCCAGAAUUGCGAAGUGGAGCCCGGAGAUCGAAACGCCUUGGUGAUCUUGAGCCUCCGUCUCAGCCUGUUGUUCAAGCAGAGAAUUGGGUACUGCCUGCUCAAAACAGAUCCAGGAGGAGAGUUGGUGGAAGAGGAAGGGGUAAUGCUGUAGGUGUAGCCAAAGGACCCUCACCAGCGGUACCCACAAGGCCAAGAGCUGCUGGUAGAGGCCGGGGCAUUAGGUUGACAGAUUUUGACCCUGAGCUUUGUCAAGUUCUUCCUGAGGCUGCACCUUUGGCUGCGGCUGAACCUGUUUUCAACCAAGCAGAGGUAGUGGCAGAUAAAGAUAUUGCGAUGGAGGGUGGAAGUGGUGACAAAAUAGUGGGAGUUGAAGAAGAAGCUAGCACAACCCCGGUUCCUGAAAUGGUGCUUCAUAUUACUAACUUAAUAUUUCCUUUUUGUUGGAUAUAUUUAUUUUUAGCUUAAGUCUUCCAUAUUAAGUUGCCUCACUCUUGAUGAGAAAAGCAGCUGAGUACAAUUUUUUUUCCUGUAUGCUUUUUUUCAGUUAAGAGCCGACUAUGUUGCUAAUACAAUUUCAGAUAUAGUGGUUUCUUUAUUUCAGCAUUUUAAAUUUGCUGAAAACUAUUUGGAUAAUCAUUUCUGUUUCGAGUUUAUCAUUAGUUUCUUACCAACAAAAACAUUCCUCGUUAGUUAGUCGUUCUUCUUAAGGAAGCUCUUGACUGAAUAUCACUUUGUUACUCAUUGCAGAUACAAGUGGGCAAUUCUCCUGCAUAUAAGGUAGAAAGGAAAUUGGGUAAGGGUGGUUUUGGCCAAGUUUAUGUCGGCCGAAGGGUAAGUGGCAGUAGUGAUAGAAUUGGACCAGAUGCAGUUGAGGUAUGGCUUGGAAACUCAUGCCUUGUUUAAGGGUUUUCCAGGUUAAACCACUUGGGAUGUAAUGUUAUGAGAUGUUUUCAUCACAGGUAGCCUUGAAGUUAGAGCACCGAAACAGUAAAGGUUGCAAUUAUGGUCCACCUUAUGAGUGGCAAGUCUACAAGUAUGACAUUUUUAUCAUAAAAAUUAUUAAACAUUACUAUCUAUUUUGGUGCAGUGAGGAAAUUCUAACUGUUUUCCUUUUAAUCUAAUCGUGAAAUGAAAAGUACCCUAAAUGGAUGCUAUGGGAUUCCUGGGGUGCACUACAAGGGUCGCCAGGGAGACUUCUACAUUCUGGUGAUUUUGCAUUUUUUUUUUCGUUUUUGUUUUUAGCUCUGUAGUGUCUUAACUCACUAAUUACUUAAUGUAUCUUACAAAACUAUAAUGAAUAUUUCAGGUAAUGGAUAUGCUUGGUCCAAGUCUCUGGGAUGUUUGGAAUUCUCUAGGACAAUCGUAAGAAAUAGAAUCUUCUUCUUUUCUCUUUGCUGUACCUACCCAUACAUGUCUACAUGAGUACAUAUGUCUGCUAUACUCUUUCAGCUUUGUAACAUGUUGUACUGUGACAGGAUGUCACCAAAUAUGGUUGCCUGCAUUGCAGUGGAGGCAAUAUCAAUUCUUGAAAAGCUUCAUUUAAAGGGGUUGGUCAUACAUUACCCUUCUGCAUUUUAUUGAAUUCACCUUCCUGUUUUGCAUAGUAGCAACUUAUUGUUAUUGUUUAUUGUCUGCUUGAAGAAAGGUUUGUGCAUGGCGACGUGAAACCUGAGAAUUUUCUAUUAGGUCAACCAGGAUCAGUCGAUGAGAAGAAGCUAUAUCUUAUUGAUCUUGGUUUAGGUAUAUUUGCCUCAGUCCUCUCUUCCCUGUUAAUUGUAUUUUCUUCCUGAACUGUCAACCAUGAUCACAUUAUGGUUAACUACUAGUUUAUAUUCUCUUCAAUGAAAGAUUUCUAUUUUAUUUUCAGUCAUGUCUUAUUGAAAUGUAAUAAAUGCUAUUCAAGAUUUGGUACUUAUUACUGUCUGCCUCCCAUGUUCUUGGAUCAGCCUCUAGAUGGAAAGAUGCACACUCUGAUAAACACAUUGAUUAUGAUCAGAGGCCUGAUGUAUUCAGGUGCGUAUACCUGUUUUUUUUUUUUUUUUUAAAUGUCAUUAAUUAUUGCUUAAGCUUGGUAUUAAUAUCUUCGGAUAUUUCUUCUGUCAGGGGAACAAUUAGGUAUGCUAGUGUACAUGCUCAUUUAGGUCGGACUGGAAGUCGUAGGGAUGACCUUGAGUCAUUGGCAUACGCAUUGAUUUUUCUCAUAAAAGGACGGCUACCAUGGCAGGGUUAUCAGGUUUCUAUUGUUGUUUUGAUUGAUGAUUUACAUAAUCUGAUUUUAUUUCCUGCCUGAGUAAUUCUUGUUUACUUUUUGGAACCGCACAGGGGGAUGACAAAAGUUUUCUGGUUUGCAAGAAAAAGAUGGGUACAUCUCCAGAGUUGAUGUGCUGCUUUUGUCCUGCCCCGUUUAAGCAGUUUCUUGAAGCUGUUAUAAAUAUGAAGUUUGAUGAGGAGCCCAAUUAUGCCAAGCUCAUAUCCUUCUUUGAAAGCCUAAUUGAUCCAUGCAUACCAUUGAGACCAAUUAGAAUUGAUGGAGCUCUUAAGGUUGUUGUUUUUCCCCCUCAAUUAAACUGGAUUGCAUAGGGUAUUCGAAUGAGCAACCUUUCUCUGUUUGUUUUUGUAUAAUUAGGUUGGGCAAAAGCGUGGAAGAUUAGUCAUUAAUUUGGAAGAAGAUGAGCAACCCAAGAAAAAAGUACGACUGGGUAGUCCUGCUACUCAGUGGGUUUCUGUUUACAAUGCACGACGUCCCAUGAAGCAGCGGUAAAGUUACAUUUUCUUGUUAAAUAUAAUAUUCAUUUGUACUUCUGCUUUUAUCAUGUACCACUGUAUCAUUAUAUCUCCACUCCGUCUUUAUGGGUUUAAUUGAGUGGUAUUAAUAUCAACAUUUGCCUGAAGCUAUUCAGGCAUUGCAUUAAUCUCGUUGUUUCUGCAUGUUUUCAUCUUCACAGUAAUAUUGUAGUAUAUUUGGAGAACACUUCCAUUAUUGAUGUCUCAUAUGUGAUGAUGAAACAUAUAUGGUGUUCAAAGUUGAAAAUGGUCCACUCAAAUCAGAUUGCCACUCUUGGAUGUUGUUUUUAUGGUGCAUGCUUCUUUGUUAAAAUAUGAGAUAUUGAGCCAUGAGGUUUACAAAUUGCUCUGCAUAGAGUUUGUUCUUUUCGGUUAGUUCUCAAAUGGUGUUCCACUUUUCCGUAACUUUUUAUCAAUCUUGUAGAUAUCACUACAACGUAGCAGAUUCAAGGUUGCAUCAGCAUGUAGAGAAGGGUAAUGAAGAUGGAUUGUUUAUUAGUUGUGUGGCUUCAGCAGCAAAUCUCUGGGCCCUGAUCAUGGAUGCAGGAACAGGUUUCUCUUCCCAGGUUUAUGAAUUGUCAGCAGUCUUUCUGCACAAGGUUAUUAUUCUAAAGCACUAGUUCCUGUCAAUUUUUCUUUUCGGAUUACAUACAUUUUGACUUACUUUAAUAUCCCAAUUUGAUUUCAUUAGGAUUGGAUUAUGGAGCAGUGGGAAAGGAACUACUAUAUUAGUUCAAUUGCCGGAGCAAAUAACGGGAGUUCCUUGGUUGUUAUGUCGAAAGGUUGGUAAUUUCCUACCAAAUAUAUUUAUGCCACUGAAUUUUCUAAGACCAUAGUCUUGCACUAACUUCAUAUUUACAAUUUAGCCUGGAUGAUACACUUCCCAUUUAUGUGCAUAUUCCUGGACCUGCUGCGAAGAUGCUGCAGCCAUUUAUAGCUUGAUGAUUAUUAACAGAUGAAUAUGAAUAGAUUUUCAAAUCAGCCUAGAGAUUGUAUCAUUGAGGCUUGUUUGAUGUAAUUAAACCUUAAGCAAGAAAGUGCGCUUAUCGUCUAGCUUUGUCAGCUGCAAGCUGAGAUUGGCUAAAGUAAUGAGUUUUGAGCAUGCCUCAGAUUGUUACUAAGCUGCUUUGGAAAUUCUGUGAUUUGUAGGAACUCCUUACACUCAGCAGUCCUACAAAGUAAGUGAAUCUUUUCCCUUCAAAUGGAUAAACAAGAAGUGGAAAGAGGGGUUUCAUGUAACAUCAAUGACAACUGCUGCGAGUCGCUGGGGUGUAGUGAUGUCGAGGAACGCCGGAUUCUCUGACCAGGUAUUCCUUUCUUUUGCUCUUUAUGUACAUCUAUUUCUCUACUGCCCUCCAUUUCCAAAAUAGCUGGUUAUAACUUCAUUGUGUAUUUAAUUUAAUGAUUCAAGGUUGUGGAGCUUGAUUUUUUGUAUCCAAGCGAAGGAAUACAUCGGCGAUGGGAAAGUGGUUACCGGAUAACAUCUAUGGCUGCGACCGUAGAUCAAGCUGCCUUCAUACUGAGCAUUCCAAAACGAAAAACGAUGGAUGAAACUCAGGAAACUCUUCGCACAUCUGCCUUUCCAAGCACCCAUGUAAAGGUGGGCAUAAGCCGAUAUUGAUCCCCUUGUUAUCUUUUUAAAACAUCUGGCAAUGCAGUUUGUAACUUGUUCAAGCGUUAAAAGCUCCACCUCUUUAAGGAGUUUAGUUUUUGAAUAUGUGACGAUUAUUCACUGUUUCUGGUGGUGUUAUUGCAGGAAAAAUGGGCAAAAAAUCUCUACAUUGCAUCGAUUUGUUACGGGCGGACGGUCUGCUAACUCCGGACUGUAAAUUAUGAGAGUCCAAAAAUGUUAAAAAUCUGAAGCUGUUGAGGUACAUUUGGUGUUGAGACAAUGGGUGGUGGGGGUUAAUUCAGCUAUAGAAACCUCUCAUAUGUAAAAAGGGAGAAAGAAAAGAGAGAACAAAUACAAUUUGAGAACCUCAGAAAGUAAUGGCAGCUGUUUGUUGAAUCAUACAAUGCUUUGAAUUUAUUAUAAACGGCUGCUACUAAAUUGCAAUUGUUUUUUCCUUAAGCUGGAAAUCAUUCAGCUUCACUCUACUCAUCAUCCUCUUCAUUCACAUUUCACAUUGCUGACCUUAUUUAUUAAUUACGAAAAUCAUUGUGAUUAAUCAUAAAAAUAAUGGGAAGUCUGACCACUUCUCCAUCCUUUAUUACUUCCUUCGAUUUCCCCUCUAAACAAAUCUGCCCAAGAAAUGCAUUUUGACAUUUCAGAAUAUGGUUUAUAAAUCAAUGUUUUUUGGUAGUUAGACCGUUGGUUUUCAGGCUGAUUGUAGAUUUAAUAAUAAUUAAAUAAAAGAUUUAUAAAUUGGGUAUUAUAUGGAAAUUGGCCAUUUCAAAAGAUAAUAACAGCUAUGGAUCGAAAAUCUAAAAAUGCGUUGAUGCGGAUGCCAUUUUAGGGGAUAAUACAGAGCGCGUUGACAAGGGUGCAUUUUUCUCAUGUUAGGCAAAAGAGCGCUGAUGGGGACGCGAUUUUCCCUGUGUAAUCCCCCAACUGUCACCUCCAACGGUCGUUUAAAAAAUUUUAUUAUUGGGCAAAACAGUUUGGAUGAAAAAUUAUAAAACCCCCACCCAUUUUCACACAAAUUUUAUAAUUUUUUCAAAAUUCUCUCUAAAUUUUUCAAAAAAGCUCUUAAAGCUCUCUAAAUUUUUAAUUUUUGUCUGAAUUAGUAUUUUUUAAAUAAUUUUUAAGAAAUUUUAUCGUGUUAGCAAUGACCUGAUAAUUAAUUCGUCUUGAUGAUAAACAUGUCUCUGUUGACCAAAUGAAAAUGGUAAGGGUUAAUUUUAUUUUUUAAAUAUUAUUUAAUAUUAUUAUUUUAUUUUUAUAAUUCAAUUAAUAUUUUUUUAUAAUUUUUUUUAUAAUUGCUGGUAGAUAGAGUGUUACAAUGUUUUAUUCAUAAUCUAUCUGGUCUUUCAUCACCGUUGAUUGAAAAUUACUUGAGGGAAGCGAGUUUUGACACAUGGCCAAUAUAGACCGAGGGUGAAAGUUGGACCCGAAACUCGUUAGCACGUUUGUGGAGAGGUGGAGACCUAAGACGCACACAUUUCAUCUUCCAUGUGAUGAGUGUACCAUCACUUUAGAGGAUGUGCAAUUACAGUUAGGGUUACCAGUGGAUAGGUCCGUACUCACCGGGCAAGCUCAAUCUGCUAAUGGGGGAGCCAUAUUUUACGAUCUUUUAGGUGCGAUUCCAACUAUUAUUUAUAGAGGCCGGAUCGAUAUGGGCUGGUUAUGAGAGACAUUCCCCGUGCCAGGGGAUGAUUCGACUGAAGUACAAAGAGCAUGAUAUGCUCGGGUGUACAUCCUUUAGAUCCUUGGAGGUUACCUGAUGCCGGACAAGACACGAAGCCUUGUACAUCUGAGGUGGCUACUAAAAUUCAUCGAUUUUAGAAUAGCUGACGAACUCAGUUGGGGGUCUACCGUGUUGACAACAUUGUACCGGGAGAUGUGUCGAGCGACGCAACCAAAUAAAAUCAAAAUCGGAUGUUGCCUCUCACUUCUACAAUCAUGGGCUCGGUUUCGCUUUCCAUUUUUAUGUCCUCAAGUAGAUCAUUUAUAUACAUUCUCACUCUUAACAAGGUAAAAUUUAUAUUAGAUUUUAUAAUUAUUAAAUAGAUUUAAAAUAAAAUAUUAUGCUAAAAUUUUAUUUAAAUAGGUGGAAUCAUUCACCAAGUUACGGGAGCAUACCUGUAAUAGCCUAAAUCUGCCCGGGCUUUUAAAAAAAUAAAAAAAUAAAAAAAUAAAUGUUUGUUUAUUACAGUCCAUGUACAAAGCCCAAAAUUUAUUUACAGCCCAAUUACAUUCUAUUGACCCAAAUACUUAAAGCUACCCAGCAGACCCAUUACACCCUUAACCUAAAACUCAAUGGCCCAAGUAGACCCAAAGCGGAGAGGCCCGGAUGGCCCAAAUGGUUAGCAGAACUUGAAAGACCUAGGGUUUCAUAAGCCCUAGGCGCCGCAGUCAAUGUGACGAUUCGUCUCGCAAUGUUCCAGCUGGCCCUCAUCAAUGUUGGUCAGAUUGAUGGUCACUAGAUCCUUUGGGCAUUCCGAGCGUCACCACCGCAAUUUCAGGCUUCAUCACUGACCUUUGCACCUCCAUCGGUGCCGGGAUCUUCGCAGCAGAAGCCGUCCUGUGGUCAUCAAGGCAAGAUUCGCAUCCACACCGCGAUCUUCGCUGGAUUUUUGGUACCUGCAAGACAAAAAAGGAAACCAACAGACACAGAAAAAGAAAAUGUAAUAGAAAAGGAAACUAAGCGAACAAAGGCAAGAAAUCGAGCAGAGAAUAUUCAAACUUGUAAACAGAGGCUAUAAAAGCCGAAGGAUUUUACUGUAAUAGGGACGAGAUUUUUUUUUACAGAGAAAAAGAAUACAUAGAUUCAAUAAAAAACACAGUGUUACACAAACUUACAGAUACCAACAGUCGAUUGAGAGUAAAGGUAAUUAUUUUAUUUUUUUUUCCUUUUUACGGAAACAUGCAUACAUCGAAUAAACUACUGAAAUAUUAAAAGGGAAGAGGGUUACCUGUAUUUCGCUUGAAAGGGCGAGGUUUUAACCCUCCGACCAUCGUAUAUGGAGGCGCGUGAGGCGCGUGAGGCGCGUGAGGCGCGUGAGGCGCGUGAGGCGCGUGAGGCGCGUGAGGCUGAAUAGCUCGGAGGCCGAAGGCCGAGACUGGAACCCCUCUUUUCCCCUCUGCAGAGAGUUUC